rnacentral:lncRNA from 1 species
CCGGUUUAACAAAAGUGUCGGCUACAAGACUAAAAGUUUGAUUAGACCAUAAGUCUUCUAGUGUGUGCCUGAUGUACAAUGGAAUCAAUAGCUUGAGCUGCAAGAGACAAAGUAAAAGAACCCUCGAAUUAUUUAAAGUUAACUCUAGAUUAUCUAGUCCACCAAGAUUGCAACUGGGAAGAUGCAGAUGUUGGCUGCAAUGUGGAAUAGAGGGACACUUAAGGUUGAGGGUACUCGUAUUAUGAAGGCAAGAUUGUUUCAAUUCAUUUGGGAAAUUCAUCAAACAUGUUAUCUGCAUACAAAUUUUGAAUAUAACCAAAACUAUCUUUGAUGGAAAGGGUUGAAGCAAAGUCUCCUAGGGGAACUUCUUGUGCCACUUUUCUGGCCUCCUCCUCCUCCUCCUAUUGUCUUCCUCGUGAAGAUAGUUGUUGUUGCAUGGCACGUUUGGGCGCAUAGGGAGGAGAUUGGGCAUAAAUCUCC